GACGAACGCUGGCGGCGCGCUUAACACAUGCAAGUCGAGCGAUGAAACUUUAACAGAACCCUUCGGGGCGAAGAUAAACUGGAUUAGCGGCGGACUGGUGAGUAACACGUGAGUAACCUGCCUUAGACAUUGGGAUAGCCUCGGUAAACCGGGAUUCAUCCCAAAUAAAAUCAUAAUGACACAUGACAUAACUAACAAAACCCCGGUGGUCUAAGCUGGACUCGCGUCCCAUUUGCUAGUUGGUAGAGUAAAAGCCCACCAAGGCGACGAUGGGUAGCCGGCCUGAGAGGGUGAACGGCCACAUUGGAACUGAGAAACGGUCCAAACUCCUACGGGAGGCAGCAGUGGGGAAUAUUGCACAAUGGAGGGAACUGUGAUGCAGCGACGCCGCGUGAACGAAGAAGGCUUUCGAGUCGUAAAGUUCUUUUAUAUGGGAAGAUAAUGACGGUACCAUAAGAAAAAGCCCCGGCUAACUACGUG
rnacentral:rRNA from 1 species